UACGUAGGGCGCGAGCGUUGUCCGGAAUCAUUGGGCGUAAAGAGCUCGUAGGCGGUGUGUCGCGUCGGCCGUGAAAACCUGCAGCUUAACUGUGGGCUUGCGGUCGAUACGGGCAUCACUGGAGUUCGGCAGGGGAGACUGGAAUUCCUGGUGUAGCGGUGAAAUGCGCAGAUAUCAGGAGGAACACCAAUGGCGAAGGCAGCACUCUGGGACGUGACUGACGCUGAGACGCGAAAGCGUGGGAGCAAACAGG
rnacentral:rRNA from 1 species